rnacentral:rRNA from 1 species
AUUGAACGCUGGCGGCACGCUUAACACAUGCAAGUCGAACGGCAGCACGAAGGGGUAACUCUUUGGUGGCGAGUGGCGAACGGGUGAGUAACGCGUAGGGAUCUGCCUGUUAGAGGGGGAUAAGCCGGGGAAACUCGGUCUAAUACCGCAUACGCUCUACGGAGGAAAGUAUGGGAUUUAAUUACCAUACGCUAACAGAUGAACCUGCGUUAGAUUAGCUAGUUGGUAGGGUAAAGGCCUACCAAGGCGACGAUCUAUAGCUGGUCUGAGAGGAUGACCAGCCACACUGGAACUGAGAUACGGACCAGACUCCUACGGGAGGCAGCAGUGGGAAUAUUGGACAAUGGGGGCAACCCUGAUCCAGCGAUGCCGCGUGUGUGAAGAAGGCCUUUCUGGGUUGUAAACUGCUUUUG